UUCACAUAAUAAAGUUAUUAUAAAAGCAUCGCUUCUAUAACCUUCUUACAUUAGCCGCCAUACAAUCAUUCCCCUCUCCAUACAAAGACUUUCCCAAAAUCUAGCUCAAAAUUUCUGCAAAUUAAUUCAACAGAAUCCGAUUAACACCACCUGUCGUCUCUGUUCCUCUAUGGCCGAAGAAAAUUGCAGGUGAAGCACAAAUUUAUGCCAUGGUAGUCGGAAGUUUGAUUUGUUUAAGCAGAUCUCCUUCUAUGGGAAGAAGCUUAGCCGAACAACAUCUUGCUACAAUGAAAAUUUGGGGCAGUCAAAUGGUCUCUCCAAGUUGGAAUGGGUGGUCUCGGAAAUACAGUUUUAGGUUGGUUUGCUGUAAAAUAAGCUUUUUAUACGUAAUGGUCGGGAGGAUUUGAUACAUGGUAAAAUGUAGAAAUAAUUGAAUAAUAUUUUAACUCUUGAAAGAUAGGUGGGGUAGGCAAAACCAACAUCAAAUAAUGAUGUUUUAAUCUUUAAAAGAUUAAAAUUCGAUUUGGAAAUAAUUCAACUAAUAACGGUUGAUAUAGAAAUUACAAAAUAUUCAAAACUUUUGUUUUGAGUCAAGAUUAUGUAUGAAAAUUUGAAUUAUUUAUCAAAAAAUGAAGAUUUAGGUUAUUUUGAAAUGAAAAAGUGGUACAUAUACGGUAGAGAUUGUCAUUUGACAAAACAUGAAAAAAAAAGAUAAAUGUAAAUUUGUUGAUUGAAAUUAAAAUAGUUUCUUUUAUAUA